GGAGAUAUAUAGCUAAGUGACAAGGUGCUUGCCUAACGUGCGAGACCUUGGGUUCGAUCCCCAGUAUUGCCC
rnacentral:tRNA from 1 species